UAACACGUAGGAGGCGAGCGUUAUCCGGAUUCACUGGGCGUAAAGCGCGUGCAGGCGGUUUGGUAAGUUGGGCGUGAAAGCUCCCGGCUCAACUGGGAGAGGUCGUUCAAUACUACCAAACUAGAGAAUAGAAGAGGAAGAUGGAAUUCCCGGUGUAGUGGUGAAAUGCGUAGAUAUCGGGAGGAACACCAGUGGCGAAGGCGGUCUUCUGGUCUAUUUCUGACGCUCAGACGCGACAGCUAGGGUAGUAAACGGGAUUAGAGACCCCGGUAAUCCUAGCCGUAAACGAUGUGAACUUGGCGUCGGUGGCUUAAACACCAUCGGUGCCGAAGCAAACGCGAUAAGUUCACCGCCUGGGGACUACGGCCGCAAGGUUA
rnacentral:rRNA from 1 species